UUUUUUUAAGGUGGUUCCAGACAUGUGGGAUUCACCGAUGCUGAGUAAAGGUUCGCUGAAUCCCGACUAGUGCUUAUUCACCGAGCAACAAUACUCAGUGCUCGCCAUGCCGCAUGUCUGGAUCCAUCUUAAAAUUGUACACCCCAAACGAGAUAGUAGAACCCCAACCAGGGACAUUGAAUGCUGGGAACCCAAGAAAAACGAAAGCAUAGAAGAGUAAAGUAUCUUCUUUAAUGGAUCGAAAAAUCAAAAGAAAGGUGAAAAGAUUUUGUGCAAAAAGUUAGGUGUCUGCGUUGUUUAUGUGUAAUGUUUUUUUAUGACGUUUUGUGCCUUAAAAAUCUUAUUUGCUCCCCUUUCAGCCUCAUUACAUUUUUGUUCACUUUGUUC